UACGUAGGGGGCGAGCGUUGUCCGGAAUCAUUGGGCGUAAAGAGCGUGUAGGCGGCUCGGUAAGUCCGCUGUGAAAACCCGGGGCUCAACCCCGGGCGUGCAGUGGAUACUGCCGGGCUAGAGGACGGCAGAGGCGAGUGGAAUUCCCGGUGUAGCGGUGAAAUGCGCAGAUAUCGGGAGGAACACCAGUAGCGAAGGCGGCUCGCUGGGCCGUUCCUGACGCUGAGACGCGAAAGCUAGGGGAGCGAACAGG
rnacentral:rRNA from 1 species